CUGGAGGUGUCCAGCUCUUAACCCUGCCUGCAGAGGUAUGUUAGCCUAACAUCCAAACAUCACACAUCUAACAUGGCAUUUAAACUAGAUGCUAAAAAAGUGAGGGAGAUUGGAUAGUGCUCAGAAUGUCCCUUGCUACCAGCAAUUAGAAUCAAAUGCUAAUUGCCUGCUUGGGUUUUUGAGGUACUUCAUUAGCCACAAUUUAUGCCUAUAGCUCUGGAAAACAUGGCUUCUAUCUGUUCAUGUUCUGUUCACUCUCUUUUCAGCAGUGAUCUCAUUGUUCAGAUACCUGUAACAGCAAAUUUUGCUUCUGUAGCAAAUUUUGGGUGCAAAUUGCUUUCUGCAAAGUACAGCGAAGUUUCACAUUUUCACACUGCUUCUGUUCCUUCUUUUGGGGAAAGAAAAAAACACUCAGGACAAAUACUAGAAGCACCGGGCUUUUGUGUAUCCCCACAAAACAGAUGAGGUCCUUCAAAGUGAACAAAGAGAGUAAGUGAUAACCUAGGUUUUUAGAAUUGGAGGAAGAAAAAGGUAAAAGGCAACAUCCUGACAUAAUGAGCACAACACUUAAUUUUGUCAAACAAACAAACAAACAAACAAAACCAAAAAAUAACAACAACAAAAAAGCCCACCUUGCACUGCAAAGCCAUUAUGCUCAACAAGAGGAAAAUACAUCCCUACAUGGAGAUGUAGACUUGCAACUCAGUUCAGUUUCUCCAUGUAUAAGCAGACUGUAACCCCGGCGUUUCAAAGACUCACAACAGAUACUCAAACCUGGCUUGUUUAAAAUGAGAUAAUGGAAACCACGGCUCUUCAAAGCACAAGGGAAGUGAGAAAAAAAUAAUAGACUGAACUGUGGUGGGCAAAAUUACAGCACUUUAUUAUAAAGUACAAGCAGUUCUGUGCCUGCUGUAGUGGGUAACAACAUGACUGCUCAUGUAGCAUUCACCGGAUUAUAGAAGGUGGUUACAGAAUCUGUAUAAUUCCUACUAAAGCUGAGGCUUACCAAUUACUGAGAAUAAUAUUAUGAUGCAGCUCGUGAAAUGGCAGCCUGCAGCAGACUUUGCAGUCAGGCUGUCAGAGAAGGCUGUAAGCUGGAAACUUGGCACUCUAGGAAACUGUUAUGGAAGGUACUGAUCCUGGGGAUACUCUUGACAGCGUUGGUAAAAUCUGGAAACAGAAUUUAAUUAAAUACUUAAAGGAGACAUUACAUUUUGAGAGACAAAAUAGAAGUACUAUGUAUCUUGCUCCCCUCUGUCCAGGUAAGUAGUCUACAAGCAAUGAAACUCUUCACUCUGUGAGAAUUUUGUUGCACUGUACUUGAUGGGAGAGGCUGAAGAAGGUUCAGAAUCAACAAACGCCCUAAAACAUUCAGUAAAAUUGAUGGUAAAGUCCUUCUGGCCCAGAAGAGCCUAAAUUUCUCUGUAUUAGUGGACUAGAUUUGAAAAGGAUGUUGCCAGUAUUGUGGGCUUUGUCAAAACCUUGUUGCAAAACCCACAGAGAAGGAGCUUGUUAAUAAAAGAAGGUGAACCACUUGCUCUCUCCAGUGCUCUUAAGGACCAAAUCUACAAGAAGAAUCUGACUGUGGAUGGAGCCAGAAUUUUUUUCCCUCUGAGGAACUGCAAAUUUCCCAGGAAGAUGCAUACAGAACAGGAGGAGCCAAACUCCACAUCCUCCCACGUAUCACCUGUAACGUACCCUACACAGUGAAAGUCUGAUGAGGGGCUCUUCAAAGCUGUUUUAAAACCUGAAAGCCACAAAGCCUAUUGCACUGGAAAUGCAAGAUACGCUACAGAUAUAUGGGUUGAAUUUCAACCCCAUUCAACUGAUGACUCAGCUUUGCUUGUCGAAAGCCAACUAUCAAUUUGCAGAAGGUCAUUGAGGUCCAUUCCAAAAUAUUUUUUGUUCAGCCAAACCAAAUGCUGACUGUUUUGCAAAAAGGUGAAGCUGAUACCAAUGUUUUCCAUGACAGUAGCAGCCAACUUGAAAAAUGAGAGGAUUAUGGAUGCCUAAUAUCUGUCACAGCUCAGGAGUCUGCACCUCCUGCAAUUAAAAGGGAAAGACAGCAGAGAAGUCUGAUUUAAAGUUCGCAGAAGAUUUAGCUAAUGCCCAACGAGCACAGCACUGAUCUACACUGAGGUCUUUGAUGAGUGAACAACACAGCCUGCAUCUGCAUUAACUGAUGGAAUAAAGGUUUGUCUUCUUGAAA